rnacentral:rRNA from 1 species
AGUGAACGCUGGCGGUAGGCCUAACACAUGCGAGUCGAACGGCAGCACAGUAAGAGCUUGCUCUUACGGGUGGCGAGUGGCGGACGGGUGAGGAAUACAUCGGAAUCUACUUUUUCGUGGGGGAUAACGUAGGGAAACUUACGCUAAUACCGCAUACGACCUACGGGUGAAAGCAGGGGAUCUUCGGACCUUGCGCGAUUGAAUGAGCCGAUGUCGGAUUAGCUAGUUGGCGGGGUAAAGGCCCACCAAGGCGACGAUCCGUAGCUGGUCUGAGAGGCUGAUCAGCCACACUGGAACUGAGACACGGUCCAGACUCCUACGGGAGGCAGCAGUGGGGAAUAUUGGACAAUGGGCGCAAGCCUGAUCCAGCCAUACCGCGUGGGUGAAGAAGGCCUUCGGGUUGUAAAGCCCUUUUGUUGGGAAAGAAAAGCAGCAGGUUAAUACCCCGCUGUUCUGACGGUACCCAAAGAAUAAGCACCGGCUAACUUCGUG